rnacentral:sRNA from 1 species
GGUACAAAAUGGCGGCCGCAGGCGGAGCCGGGUGGGGCGACCCUUUUUUAGCAUUUCCUCUGCGCUUGAGACACCUGGAAAGUCUUGGCCUUUGUUCUCUCUUCCUGUUGCUGACGGAGUAGAAGGAAAACGUCAGUGUUGGCCAGACCGCCGUGCGGUCAUGGCCGGAUGGCCGACGCCUGCAGGGACGAGGCCGUGGCGGACCGAGGCACGGGUGUGCUCGGACGGCGAGGGAGCGUGGCUCGGACCGCUAGCGCCGUGGCGGGAGGCACGCGGGCCGGCAGGGAGGGCCAGGCCGUUGGCGCGGGACCAGGGAACCGUAGGCGUCCCGGAGCCUGGCCUCCCGGCGGGGAGUGCUUCUUCGGGCGGAGGAGGAAGUAGGGGUGCACCUCAGCACUAUCCCAAGACUGCUGGCAACAGCGAGUUCCUGGGGAAAACCCCAGGGCAAAACGCUCAGAAAUGGAUUCCUGCACGAAGCACUAGACGAGAUGACAACUCCGCAGCAAACAACUCCGCAAACGAAAAAGAACGACAUGAUGCAAUCUUCAGGAAAGUAAGAGGCAUACUAAAUAAGCUUACUCCUGAAAAGUUU